rnacentral:rRNA from 1 species
UACGGAGGGUGCGAGCGUGUCCGGAAUCACUGGGCGUAAAGGGCGCGUAGGCGGCGCAGACAGUCAACGGUGAAAGCUUGGGGCUCAACCCCGAGUCGGCCGUCGAUACUUCUGGGCUUGAGCACUGUAGAGGCAGGUGGGAAUUCCGGGUGUAGCGGUGGAAUGCGUAGAGAUCCGGAAGAACACCGGUGGCGAAGGCGGCCUGCUGGGCAGUAGCUGACGCUGAGGCGCGACAGCGUGGGGAGCGAACAGG